AGGGUUCGAUUAUGGCUCAGAACGUACGCUGGCGGCACGCCUUAUACAUGCAAGUCGAACGAAGUAGCAAUACUUAGUGGCAGACGGGUGAGUAACAUGUAGGUAUCUUCCCUUUGGUGAGGAAUAACACGAGGAAACUUGUGCUAAUACCUCAUAAGUCUUUACGGAGAAGGCUUUAUGCGCCGAAGGAUGAGCCUGCACUUGAUUAGUUUGUUGGUGGGGUAAUGGCCUACCAAGACUUUGAUCUAUAGCUGAUCUGAGAGGAUGAUCAGCCACAUUGGGACUGAGACACGGCCCAAACUCCUACGGGAGGCAGCAGUAGGGAAUAUUGCACAAUGGAGGAAACUCUGAUGCAGCGAUGCCGCGUGAGUGAAGAAGGCCUUUGGGUUGUAAAGCUCUUUCGUCGGGGAAGAAAAUGACUGUACCCGAAUAAGAAGGUCCGGCUAACUUCGUGCCAGCCGCCGCGGUAAUUC
rnacentral:rRNA from 1 species